GUCACUUCUCGGCCUUUUAGCUUAGAUCAAGUGAAGUAUCUGUUCUCAUCAGUUUAAUAUCUGAUAUGUCCUCUAUAAGGGGACAACGUAUUAAAUGGGUUUUUAGCACUGGGAGCUGAAAAAAGGGCUUGUUUCCUUCGCUCCACACAUCGACCUGGUGUUGCAGUGUUGCCGGGAACGGUGGCCAAGUG